rnacentral:sRNA from 1 species
ACAUCCAAGAAAAAAAUAGGUAGAGAAGAAAGCGGAAAGGGAAUACUUGAGUAGGAGGCCAAAAACAAAGUGAGGAGUGUAAAAGGGCAAAAGGCGAUGGCAAAGGCAAAGGCUGCUUAAUGAGCAGCCGAGGUAGUAGACCCACUUAAAAACCAAAUUAGUGGCUCCCAGCCACAACUGGCAAGUGAGCCAGACAAGUGGAUAAGCGGCUCAAAGGACUCUAGGUGCUUUGUUGUUUCACUCUUAAAAAAAAAAUUAAAUCUUAAAAAAUUAAAUGAUUUAAAAUCGUAUUUGUUUCUGUCAGCGUAUGAAAAUAAUUACUAGAUGGACUGACGAUUUCUCAUUCCAAAAUUAUCCUUCGAGCGCCGCGCAUAAUGAGCACAAAGGUGCACAAACGAAGAACCGGAAAGUCCUCUCCAGCCAACUCAUUAUGCACAUCAUCAAUAUAAUGAAGGAUCUCUGGCCGAAAAAAAAAUUGAGUGUGGACCAACCUUGAAAUGCCCGCCGAAUGAAUGAAAAGUCCUGGAGGCAUACCAAUCCUGCACCAUGUUUACCUUCGUACGCUCGUUAUAAUAAAAUGUUUCAAAAGCAA